rnacentral:lncRNA from 1 species
AGACUCUUAAGCCCCAAAAAUUUUCAGUUCCCCCCAAAAUUUCACCAACUCUUUUCAGCUCCCCCCAAAAUUUCACUAACUCCCUCUGAUUCACCUCACCCUCACACCCCAGAUCCUCUGCUCACUUCACAAAUAUCACACAUCACAGCUCUUCAUCACCGUUCUCACUGGUCGCUUCAUCCCGAUUCUCAGCUCACAUAUGGAUAUUCAUCUUGAUGUUGGAUUAAUCAACGGUUUAAUCUCAUGGGUUUUCUUCAAAUUGCUUUUAAUUACUAAUAACUUCUUCUAAUUUAUCUUAUUUGUGUCGAUUUGCUUUGUACAUCUCCAUUUUUGUGUGUGUUUAGGGUUUUUACAAUUUCUUAAGAUUAGGGCUUAUAAUUGGGGCUUGCAAUCAAGAUAAAUGGGUUUGUAUUUUGGGGGUUUAGUUGAUUUAUUUUAGAUAUUUCGAUUUAUAUAUAGUAUUUAUGUGCUGAUAUUUUUGGUUUUGUAGAAACUAGAAGAUCUGAUGCUUUUGUUCUUUCCUGUUUUAGUUCUGUGCGAGCUCUAUGAUCUCAAGUUGAUUUGUUUGCAAUAAGGUGCAUCAUGUAAGUUUGUACUUUCAUAUAUACCUUGUGAGGUUCUUCUAUUUAGAAUGUUUAUACAAUAUUAGUUCNAGUCAAAGAACUUAAUGAUAAACAAGAGAUCAAGAGAACUGUUGGAAUAGGUUUUGACUAUAACAAAUCCGUAGGUAAGGCUAGUAACAUGAGUUUAGUUGAUUUAUUUUAGAUAUUUCGAUUUAUAUAUAGUAUUUAUGUGCUGAUAUUUUUGGUUUUGUAGAAACUAGAAGAUCUGAUGCUUUUGUUCUUUCCUGUUUUAGUUCUGUGCGAGCUCUAUGAUCUCAAGUUGAUUUGUUUGCAAUAAGGUGCAUCAUGUAAGUUUGUACUUUCAUAUAUACCUUGUGAGGUUCUUCUAUUUAGAAUGUUUAUACAAUAUUAGUUCACUAUUUUUUCACAUAUAUGGCGCUGACCAGUGGAGAAUGGUAUCUUCUAUGCUGAUGGUGCCGACUGUUAUAUUAAUGUUUUCUGGGUGUUUUUGUUACAUUCCAAGAAGAUGAUUAGGCCUUUUAGAGUUUCUUCAUCU